UACAGCCACAUCAAGUUGAAACACUGGUUCUCAUAUGAUCACCAAAGUUAAGCAAUGUUGAACCUGGUGAUGGGUGACCACUUGUGAAUACCAGGUGCUGUAAG